AGUGGGGAAUCUUAGACAAUGGGCGCAAGCCUGAUCUAGCCAUGCCGCGUGAGUGACGAAGGCCUUAGGGUCGUACAGCUCUUUCGCCAGAGAUGAUAAUGACAGUAUCUGGUAAAGAAACCCCGGCUAACUCCGUGCCAGCAGCCGCGGUAAUACGGAGGGGGUUAGCGUUGUUCGGAAUUACUGGGCGUAAAGCGCACGUAGGCGGAUUGGAAAGUUGGGGGUGAAAUCCCAGGGCUCAACCCUGGAACUGCCUCCAAAACUCCCAGUCUGGAGUUCGAGAGAGGUGAGUGGAAUUCCGAGUGUAGAGGUGAAAUUCGUAGAUAUUCGGAGGAACACCAGUGGCGAAGGCGGCUCACUGGCUCGAUACUGACGCUGAGGUGCGAAAGUGUGGGGAGCAAACAGGAUUAGAUACCCUGGUAGUCCACACCGUAAACGAUGAAUGCCAGUCGUCGGCAAGCAUGCUUGUCGGUGACACACCUAACGGAUUAAGCAUUCCGCCUGGGGAGUACGGUCGCAAGAUUA
rnacentral:rRNA from 1 species